AAACAAGGGGUGCCGCAAGGCUGAGAUUAUACCCUAUGAACCUGAUGCGGGUAAUUCCGACGAAGGGAGUUUU
rnacentral:ncRNA from 1 species